UACAGAGGUGGCAAGCGUUGUUCGGAAUUACUGGGCGUAAAGCGCGCGCAGGCGGCUCUUUAAGUCUGACGGUGAAAUGCCGGGGCUCAACCCCGUGCCCGCCGCGGAUACUGGAGGGCUGGAGACACGUAGAGGCAAGCGGAAUUCCGGGUGUAGCGGUGGAAUGCGUAGAGAUCCGGAAGAACACCGGAGGCGAAGGCGGCUUGCUGGGCGUAGUCUGACGCUGAGGCGCGAAAGCGUGGGGAGCGAACAGG
rnacentral:rRNA from 1 species